rnacentral:rRNA from 2 species
UACAGAGGGUGCAAGCGUUAAUCGGAAUUACUGGGCGUAAAGCGCGCGUAGGCGGCUGAUUAAGUCGGGUGUGAAAGCCCCGGGCUCAACCUGGGAAUUGCAUCCGAUACUGAUUGGCUAGAGUAUGAGAGAGGGAGGUAGAAUUCCACGUGUAGCGGUGAAAUGCGUAGAUAUGUGGAGGAAUACCGGUGGCGAAGGCGGCCUCCUGGCUUAAUACUGACGCUGAGGUGCGAAAGCGUGGGGAUCAAACAGG